ACAUGAACCCAAACAAAUAAAAUGUAUGAUGUAAAAGAAGUAAUAUGAAUUAGCAAAUGCUUUAAAAUAAAUGUUUUGUUUUUAUUUUGAUUAGAGCAUUAGAUGUUUAUAUUCUGAACACUUUUCAGAUACUAUAUUCAAGUCUUAUUUUCACACACUGGUCUGCUUUGGCCAGAGAUUUCGAGCGAGACACCAGGGGCCCGUUUCAAUAAGAAGGUUCAACCAACUCUGAGAUAAAACUUGAACACUGAGUUGACUUACUCUGAGUUUUCGGGUUCAGAGCAGCUGAAUUGUGUAAGUUCAGUCAACUCUGAGAAGGUUGACUCUGAGUUUAGCGCGUGCACCACGACUAUGAAAAGCCAUGAUGAUCAAUGGAGCUCCAAUAUUAUGAUUCACCAUGGCAACAGCUCCCGCCAAAAAGACGUCUGCAUACUUCAGACUCAAUACAAGUUUAAUUCUUAUCACUGCUAUAAUAUCACAAGUGAAAACUGGCAGAAUGGUAGGUUAUUGAACUUAUAGGCUAUUCAUUUUCAUGGUAUCUCUUGAUAAUAAUUUUAUGAGACGGGCGGGGUGUCCUGCGGGGCCCGGGGCCGAUGCGUGGCUCCAGGUGUCUGCUGCGACUCUGAGAGCUGUGUUCUGGAUCCAGAUUGCUCUGAAGACGUGGGAUCUCAUCAGACUGAAGACGGCGUGGCUCUGAAGGGUGUUUCUGGAGAAAUGCUGCUGCGUUUGCUCAAUCUGGCCACUCGGAGACAAAGACCCUUCUGAUCCCAUCAUUCAUUCACUCACACACACACACACACACACACACACACACACACACACACACACACACACACACACACACACACACACACACACACACACACACACACACACACACACACACACACACACACACACACGUGUUGCUCAGUGCUGUGUAAAUACUGUAUGUAGUAAACGUACGUGAAAGUCA